AAUUUUUUUUGGUCACAGUUAUAUGUGUACCUGCCUUUUAAACAUACGUUUAUUUUAUUGUAAAAAAAUGCCAUUUUAAACAUUUUUAAACAAUAGUUAAAAGAAAAAGCUUUAUUCAAAUGCUCGCAGACCAUACAAUUCACCUACUAAAAGUGUGCGGUUGGCCGGGAGCGAUGGCUCACAGCUGUAAUCCCAGCGCUUUGGGAGGCGGAGGUGGGAGGAUCUCUUGAACCCAGGAGUUGAGGCCGGUCUGGGUAACAUAAAUUCAGUAAAAUGUUUAAAAGUGUGCAAUUUAAUGGUUUUUGGUAUAUUGCGUUAUUUUUAAAAUAUUGUCCAAAAUGUAUAUAACAAACUGACAUUUUAACCAUUUUUAAGUACAAUUCAAUAGCAUUAAUUACAUUCACAAUGUAACCAUCACCACUGUUUCCAGAACUUUUCAUCACCCCAGAUAAACUCUAACCGUGAGGCACUGACUCCCCAUUUCACCUUUCCCCCCAGCCUCGGCACCUUCUAUUCCACUUUCUGUCUCUAUGAAUCUGGCCAUUCUAGGUAUUUCAUAGAAGGGACUCAUGCAAUAUAGGAUCUUGUGUGUCUAGCUUAUUUCACUUAGCGUGUUUCUGAGGUUCAUGUACAGUGUGGCAUGGAUCAGUACUUCAUUUUUCGGGCUGAAUAAUAAUUUGUUUUACGGAUAUACUUGUUACAUUUUGUUUAUCCAUUGGCUGGACAUUGGUUUUUUUCACCUUUUCGUUAUUUGAAUACUGGCGAUACGAACAUUUAUGUACCAGUAUGUGUUUGAAUACCUGUGUUCAGUUCUUUUGUCUAUAUAUCUACGAGUGGAAUUGCUGGAUCCUAUGGUAAUUCUGUGUUUAGCUUUUUGAGGAACUGCCACAUUGAUUUCUACAGUGGCUGUACCAUUUUACAUUUCCAUUAGCAGAGUACGAAGUUUCCAGUUUCUUCACUUCCUCACCAACACUUGUUAUUUUCCGUGCCAUGCUAGUACAUGUGAACUGGUAUCUUAACUCUGUGUGUCAAAAAAUUGCGGGGCCGGGCGCGGCGGCUCACGCCUGUAAUCCCAGCACUUUGGGAGGCCGAGGCGGGCGGAUCACGAGGUCAGGAGAUCGAGACCAUCCUGGCUAACACGGUGAAACCCCCUCUCUACUAAAAAUACAAAAAAUUAGCCGGGCAUGUUGGCACGCGCCUGUAGUCCCAGCUACUCGGGAGGCUGAGGCCGGAGAAUGGCGUGAACCCGGGAGGCGGAGCUUGCAGUGAGCCGAGAUCACGCCACCGCACUCCAGCCUGGGAGACAGAGCGAGACUCCGUUUCAAAAAAAAAAAAUUGUGGUAAAAUAUAGCAAGAUUACCAUUUUAACCACUUAAAAAUGUUUUUGACUAGAAAGAAGGGAGGAAAAUUUUAACCGUUUGUAAUUGUAUGGUUCAGUGGCAUCGCCUCCGUUCACACUGCUGUGCAUCCGUCACCACCGUCCAUCUCCAGAACUUUUUAAUCCUCCCAAACUGAAUUUCCACACCCUUGAGGCUCACCGUUCCUCCCUCCUACUAUCCCCUGGCAACCACCGUUCUCCUUUCCAUUUCUGUGAACCCGACUGCUUCUAGGUACCUCCUGAGAAAUUUGGACACAGAGACAGACACGCACAGAAGGAAGAUGAUGUAAAGACACAGAGUACCACGUGAGGCUGGAGGACUGGAGUGAUGUAUUUACAACCCAAGGAACGUCUAAGGUUAUCAGCAUACUGUCAGAAGCAAGGAAGAGGCAAGGAAGGAUCCCCUACAAGUUUGAAAAGUGUCAUGGCCCUGCUGACACAUUUAUUUUGGACUUUUAGCCAGAACUGUGAGAAAAUAAAUUGCUGUAUUUUCAAGUCA